CAUUACUUUCUAGAUUUUUUUAGAUUUCCCAGGCCCCUCCAGCUGGAACUCAUGAAAUAAACAAUUACAAACUAAAGUGGCAAUUACUGGAUAGAGCCACAAAGAAUAAAUAAGGUUUCCAGGGCGCCUGGGUGACUCGGUUGGUUGGGCAUCUGCCUCUGCUCAGGUCAUGAUCCUGGGGUCCUGGGAUUCAGCCCCGCGCCAGGAUCCCUGCUCAGCGGACUUUCUUGGGGGCCACACCUUCGCACGCUAAAAUCAGGAUGUGUACAUCGUCAUAUCUGAAAACCUCUCCCGUAGCAUUUCCCGUCCGUUCUAACUCUCACCUCCCACUCCUUCCCCUGCUACUAGUUACUAGUUCUGUGCGGUUUCUGGGCCAUUUUAGAAUUACGGAAACAGGGAGAGGGCGCGCCCGACGGAUGGAGAACCCUUAAUGAUGUUGCAAAAACGGGAGAAUAAGAACAUGACAGCUAAGACAGAAGACGUGUCCCCCUUCCUCUUUGUUUUGAACGCGGCUCUGGGAAUGACCGACAGCUGGAAGUUUGACAGGACUCUCCCACCGCGUCUUAAGAAAUUCUUUGAUCUCUCCGGUAUCUUUUAUGACAAAGGCCUUUCCUGCCAACAUGUCAGGUUUGUUCCAGAAGAUAAAGGCAGGAACACAGUCCUCUACCUCUGGCCAGCAGAUGGGAUUUAGUACAGAAGCGACCAGGAAAGCUGGAAAGCCAAGCAGGGAGCAAUGAGCUUACAUUUCUGUAAGUGGAAAGCGGAAACAAAGGAUGUGUAUACUGAAUGUCUCGGGCGAUAACCAUCAGGCUGCCGUCCACGCUGAAGAGCAAUGAUCACCGGGGGUCUGCAGACCCCCAGAGUCACGGAGAGGACAUGGAAGAAAGGGAAGGAGAGAGAGAGAGACCAAGAAAUGGAGACACAGAUCUCUUAUGUGCUAAAAACCAAGAAGAACCUCAUAACCGAUGUGUAUAUGUAUGUCUGAGCAUCAGAGGACAUGGCAUUCAGCCUCAGACCUCCAGAAUCCUGUGUGUGUGUUUGAGAAGGAUAAAUAGCCUGCAUUUGAGAGCAUGUGGUGAGACAUGAUUCCUAGCUUACUUUGUAUUUCGUAUUAAAUACAAAAAGACACCUUAAUACACUAACAGCAGAAAUUCAGUCUAUUUUGCCUUUAUGGACAUCUGUUCUCAGACUACUGGUUGUUUACCUAAUUGCUAUAAUAAAGGCUAAUUUCUACAUUAAA